AGCUAGCCUAUAUACUAAUUUAACUAGACCUUAUAAAUCUAAUCUACAUUACAACUUUUAAUCAAAACAUUCUUAACCUUUUAGUAUGGGUGACAGAACAAUAACCCCAGCGCAAUAGCUCAUGUACCGCAAGGGAAAGCUGAAAAAGAAAUGAAACAAAUCAUUAAAGUACUAAAAAGCAGAGAUUAUACCUCGUACCUUUUGCAUCAUGAUUUAGCUAGAAAAACUAGGCAAAAAGACCUUAAGUCUAUCUUCCCGAAACUAAACGAGCUACUCCGAAGCAGCACUAUAGAGCUAACCCGUCUCUGUGGCAAAAGAGUGGGAAGACUUCCGAGUAGCGGUGAAAAGCCUACCGAGUUUAGUGAUAGCUGGUUACCCAAGAAAAGAACUUUAGUUCUGCAUUAAUUUUUUACCAUCUAAACAAGAUUUUCUUGUUAAAGAAACCUAUAAGAAUUAAUAGUUAUUUAGAAGAGGUACAACCCUUCUAAAUCAAGAUACAACUUUCUAAGGUGGGAAAUGAUCAUAAUUACUAAGGUUACCAUCUCAGUGGGCCUAAAAGCAGCCAUCUGUUAAGUAAGCGUCGCAGCUCUAAUCUAAUAAUAACCUUUAAUCCAGAUAUUCAUUCACAACCCCCUUUAUUCUAUUGGGUUAUUUUAUAUUUAUAUAAAAGAACUUAUGCUAAAAUGAGUAAUAAAGAGAAUAAAUCUCUCCCGACACAAGUGUAUGUCAGAAAGAAUUAAAUCGCUGAUAAUUAAACGACCCCAAACUGAGGUUAUUAUAUCACUUAACCAUUAACUAGAAAACCCUAUUCUCACAAUCGUUA
rnacentral:rRNA from 1 species